rnacentral:rRNA from 1 species
AGAGUUUGAUCAUGGCUCAGGAUGAACGCUAGCGGCAGGCCUAAUACAUGCAAGUCGAACGGUAAGGACUCGCUUGCGAGUCACACGAGUGGCGCACGGGUGCGUAACGCGUAUGCAACCUACCUUCAACUGGAGAAUAGCCCCGAGAAAUCGGGAUUAAUACUUCAUAAUAUCCAUUUAUCUCAUGUUAGAUGGAUUAAAGCUCCGGCGGUUGAAGAUGGGCAUGCGUGACAUUAGUUUGUUGGUGAGGUAACGGCUCACCAAGACUACGAUGUCUAGGGGUUCUGAGAGGAUUUUCCCCCACACUGGUACUGAGACACGGACCAGACUCCUACGGGAGGCAGCAGUAAGGAAUAUUGGGCAAUGGACGAAAGUCUGACCCAGCCAUGCCGCGUGCAGGAUGACAGCCCUACGGGUUGUAAACUGCUUUUAUACGGGAAGAAUCCCCUGUACGUGUACAGGGUUGACGGUACCGUACGAAUAAGCAUCGGCUAACUCCGUGCCAGCAGCCGCGGUAAUACGGAGGAUGCAAGCGUUAUCCGGAUUCAUUGGGUUUAAAGGGUGC